GAUGAACGCUAGCUACAGGCUUAACACAUGCAAGUCGAGGGGAAACGGCAUUAAGUGCUUGCACUUUUUGGACGUCGACCGGCGCACGGGUGAGUAACGCGUAUCCAACCUUCCCAUGACUAAGGGAUAACCUGCCGAAAGGCAGACUAAUACCUUAUGGUCUUCACUGACGGCAUCAGAUGUGAAGUAAAGAUUUAUCGGUUAUGGAUGGGGAUGCGUCUGAUUAGCUUGUUGGCGGGGUAACGGCCCACCAAGGCAACGAUCAGUAGGGGUUCUGAGAGGAAGGUCCCCCACAUGGGAACUGAGACACGGUCCAAACUCCUACGGGAGGCAGCAGUGAGGAAUAUUGGUCAAUGGGCGAGAGCCUGAACCAGCCAAGUAGCGUGCAGGAUGACGGCCCUAUGGGUUGUAAACUGCUUUUGUAUGGGGAUAAAGUCAAUCACGUGUGAUUGUUUGCAGGUACCAUACGAAUAAGGACCGGCUAAUUCCGUG
rnacentral:rRNA from 1 species